rnacentral:rRNA from 1 species
GCGGAGGAAAAGAAACCAACUGGGAUUACCUUAGUAACGGCGAGUGAAGCGGUAAAAGCUCAAAUUUGAAAUCUGGUACUUUCAGUGCCCGAGUUGUAAUUUGUAGAAUUUGUCUUUGAUUAGGUCCUUGUCUAUGUUCCUUGGAACAGGACGUCAUAGAGGGUGAGAAUCCCGUUUGGCGAGGAUACCUUUUCUCUGUAAGACUUUUUCGAAGAGUCGAGUUGUUUGGGAAUGCAGCUCAAAGUGGGUGGUAAAUUCCAUCUAAAGCUAAAUAUUGGCGAGAGACCGAUAGCGAACAAGUACAGUGAUGGAAAGAUGAAAAGAACUUUGAAAAGAGAGUGAAAAAGUACGUGAAAUUGUUGAAAGGGAAGGGCAUUUGAUCAGACAUGGUGUUUUUUGCAUGCACUCGCCUCUCGUGGGCUUGGGCCUCUCAAAAAUUUCACUGGGCCAACAUCAAUUCUGGCAGCAGGAUAAAUCAUUAAGAAUGUAGCUACUUCGGUAGUGUUAUAGCUUUUUGGAAUACUGUUAGCCGGGAUUGAGGACUGCGCUUCGGCAAGGAUGUUGGCAUAAUGGUUAAAUGCCGCCCGUCUUGAACACCGGACCCA